AGCGAACGCUAGCGGCGGGCUUAACACAUGCAAGUCGAGCGCAUCUCCUUCGGGAGGUGAGCGGCGAACGGGUGAGUAACACGUAGGUAACGUACCCUCUGGUGGGGAAUAACCCAGGGAAACUUGGGCUAAUACCGCAUGUGCCCUUCGGGGUGAAAGACUUCGGUUGCCAGAGGAUCGGCCUGCGGCCCAUUAUUUAAUCCUAGUUGGUAGGGUAACGGCCUACCAAGGGUACGAUGGGUAGCUGGUCUGAGAGGAUGAUCAGCCACACUGGGACUGAGACACGGCCCAGACUCCUACGGGAGGCAGCAGUGGGGAAUAUUGGACAAUGGGCGAAAGCCUGAUCCAGCCACGCCGCGUGAGUGAUGAAGGCCUCGG
rnacentral:rRNA from 1 species